rnacentral:rRNA from 1 species
UACAGAGGGGGCAAGCGUUGUUCGGAAUUACUGGGCGUAAAGGGCGCGUAGGCGGCCUUCUAAGUCGAACGUGAAAUCCCUGGGCUCAACCCAGGAACUGCGUCCGAUACUGGAAGGCUUGAAUCCGGGAGAGGGAUGCGGAAUUCCAGGUGUAGCGGUGAAAUGCGUAGAUAUCUGGAGGAACACCGGUGGCGAAGGCGGCAUCCUGGACCGGUACUGACGCUGAGGAGCGAAAGCGUGGGUAGCAAACAGG